UACGGGGGGGGGCAAGCGUUGUUCGGAAUUACUGGGCGUAAAGGGCUCGUAGGCGGCCAACUAAGUCGGAUGUGAAAUCCCCAGGCUUAACCUGGGAACUGCAUCCGAUACUGGAUGGCUUGAAUCCGGGAGAGGGAUGCGGAAUUCCAGGUGUAGCGGUGAAAUGCGUAGAUAUCUACAGGAACUCCGGUGGCGAAAGCGGCGUGCUGGACCUUUUCUGACGCUGAGACGCGAAAGCGUGGGGAGCGAACGG
rnacentral:rRNA from 1 species